AGUGAACGCUGGCGGUAGGCCUAACACAUGCAAGUCGAACGGCAGCACAGUAAGAGCUUGCUCUUACGGGUGGCGAGUGGCGGACGGGUGAGGAAUACAUCGGAAUCUACUUUUUCGUGGGGGAUAACGUAGGGAAACUUACGCUAAUACCGCAUACGACCUACGGGUGAAAGCAGGGGAUCUUCGGACCUUGCGCGAUUGAAUGAGCCGAUGUCGGAUUAGCUAGUUGGCGGGGUAAAGGCCCACCAAGGCGACGAUCCGUAGCUGGUCUGAGAGGAUGAUCAGCCAUACUGGAACUGAGACACGGUCCAGACUCCUACGGGAGGCAGCAGUGGGGAAUAUUGGACAGUGGGCGCAAGCCUGAUCCAGCCAUACCGCGUGGGUGAAGAAGGCCUUCGGGUUGUAAAGCCCUUUUGUUGGGAAAGAAAAGCAGCAGGUUAAUACCCCGCUGUUCUGACGGUACCCAAAGAAUAAGCACCGGCUAACUUCGU
rnacentral:rRNA from 1 species